rnacentral:lncRNA from 1 species
UUGGUUCCAGCCUUUCGCAAGAUGUUAAGAGUACCUAUGGAAGCUUUCCUAUGCAGAGGAGUCGUUUUGCUUAUGGUAACUAUACUGGUGCAGGAAUGCAGUACCCCAUGGCACGAACAUACCUAGCCACUCCGGACCUUCCUUCAGCUUAUUCAUCACCUGUCUUUGUCCAAGCACCAGCCGAGAAAGGUAUUGCAGGUUUUGCCAUUGAUUUUCUCAUGGGUGGAGUUUCAGCAGCUGUCUCCAAAACUGCUGCUGCUCCAAUUGAGCGUGUGAAACUCUUGAU